ensembl:lncRNA TTN-AS1 TTN antisense RNA 1
CUCUGUGACUGGCUUGCUUGAUGGUUAGGGUCUGAUCGCUGCCUGAGACACCAUAUCGGUACUCCUCAGAGUUGGUGAUCACAGGAUCUGGUUUGCCACUGAAAGGAAUCUUGAUGCUGACCACUUCACCUCGGAGAGCAUGAACUGCUCCCAUGCCUUCAAGAGUUUUAGAUUUUCACAUUUCACACGAAACUCGUAUUCAAGACCUUCAAUAAGGUUUUUCACUGAAAAGACAGUUUCUCGAAUUUCUUCUGUUGUCACAGAAAUCCAUUUAUUCUGCUUCUUCUCACGCUUCUCAAGAAUUUUAUGCAAAGAUGGAACUUUACCAUAGGAAGAUACAGAAAUCAAGUUGUACUCACCAAAUGGACUCUUAAUGAUCACAACUGAGGACACUUCUAGAGGGUCACUGAUGCCGAAAGUGUUCUGAGCUGAAACCCGGAAGUAAUAGCCAGCAUUUUCUGUGAGGUUCACAAUUCUACAGGUUGUCACUGAGAUGGCUGAAGACACCAAUUGCCAUUCAGCCCCCUCCUUGGCCUCACAUUUUUCCACCACAUAGUUGGUGAUCCAGGAGCCUCCGUCAUCUGCGGGUGGUUUCCAGCUGAUCACUGCGGAGUUCUUCAAUAGAGCUUCGAUCACAAUUGGUCCUGUAGGAUGGCAUCAACUGUUCCAAAAACAUUGCUGAGCUGGACUUUGUAUUUCCCAGCAUGAGUCUUACGUUGGACAUUCUUCAUGACAAGAUGAGUAUAGU